ensembl:snRNA
GUGUUGUGUGAAAGAAGAAAAGAUUAAUUACCCUCUUUAUAAGGAUAGACGUCCUACUGACCUUUAUAUGACAUAUAAUUAAAACAUUUCCGCUUGCUAUGAAAUCUUGUCAUGUUUGAUUUUUU